CUAGUAAAACCAAGUCAAGGUCAGAAACUCACGAGUCAGAAGCUAGACGCUGCUGCUGCUGAGCUCCCUGCUGAAUCCAUAGUCUCUGGACCCAACCGGUUCCCCCCCCUCUCAAAGGAUCUGCCAGAACCUCUCCAAGAUAUCAGUGAUUCCAGUCCCGGACCUGUACCAGAACUAGUUCAUAUUUCUCUGUGUGUGCCUUUAAUAAACUGUUGAACUUUUA